CCUACGGGUGGCAGCAGUGAGGAAUAUUGGUCAAUGGGCGAGAGCCUGAACCAGCCAAGUCGCGUGAAGGAUGAAUGAUCUAUGGUUUGUAAACUUCUUUUAUAUGGGAAUAAAGUGAGGAACGUGUUCCUUUUUGUAUGUACCUUAUGAAUAAGCAUCGGCUAACUCCGUGCCAGCAGCCGCGGUAAUACGGAGGAUGCGAGCGUUAUCCGGAUUUAUUGGGUUUAAAGGGUGCGUAGGUGGUUAAUUAAGUCAGCGGUGAAAGUUUGUGGCUCAACCAUAAAAUUGCCGUUGAAACUGGUUGACUUGAGUAUAGUAGAGGUAGGCGGAAUGCGUGGUGUAGCGGUGAAAUGCAUAGAUAUCACGCAGAACUCCGAUUGCGAAGGCAGCUUACUAAACUAUAACUGACGCUGAAGCACGAAAGCGUGGGUAUCAAACAGGAUUAGAUACCCUUGUAGUC
rnacentral:rRNA from 1 species